rnacentral:tRNA from 1 species
GCGAGAGUGGCGGAAUUGGCAGACGCACUAGAUUCAGGGUCUAGCGAUCGCAAGGUCGUGGGGGUUCAAGUCCCCCCUCUCGCACUA